rnacentral:rRNA from 2 species
GGGUUGUGAGGUUAAGCGACUAAGCGUACACGGUGGAUGCCCUGGCAGUCAGAGGCGAUGAAGGACGUGCUAAUCUGCGAUAAGCGCCGGUAAGGUGAUAUGAACCGUUAUAACCGGCGAUUUCCGAAUGGGGAAACCCAGUGUGACUCGUCACACUAUCAUUAACUGAAUCCAUAGGUUAAUGAGGCGAACCGGGGGAACUGAAACAUCUAAGUACCCCGAGGAAAAGAAAUCAACCGAGAUUCCCCCAGUAGCGGCGAGCGAACGGGGAGGAGCCCAGAGCCUGAAUCAGCAUGUGUGUUAGUGGAAGCGUCUGGAAAGGCGCGCGAUACAGGGUGACAGCCCCGUACACAAAAGCGCAUGU